rnacentral:rRNA from 2 species
UCUCGUUGGUGACCAGCGGAGGGAUCAUU